ACGUUUCUGUGAUUUUGAUGUACUGAACAAUUAUAAUCUUGUCAGAUUUUCUUUGGGAAAGAUUAUUAUUAUUUGGACGCUUGAAAAAGUAAACGUUUGUCUGCCGAAGACAAUCAUGUGGUUUACGGCCAUGUGCUUCCCUAGUAUCAACAGUGCCGAGGAAGGCGCCAGUGAAAGGCAGGCGGUUUGCCGAUUAUGCACAAGUUGAAGAAAAGAGCUGCUGUGGGAUGGUAAAAAAAGUUCCAGGAGCAACAAAGAGUCUUGACUUUUACAGGAGUGCAGAUUUUAAAG